rnacentral:rRNA from 1 species
CACGUAGGAGACAAGCGUUAUCCGGAUUUACUGGGCGUAAAGCGCGUGCAGGCGGUUUGGAAAGUUGGAUGUGAAAGCUCCCGGCUUAACUGGGAGAGGUCAUUCAAAACUACCAGACUUGAGAGUGGUAGAGGAAGGUGGAAUUCCGGGUGUAGUGGUGAAAUGCGUAGAUAUCCGGAGGAACACCAGUGGCGAAAGCGGCCUUCUGGACCAUUUCUGACGCUCAGACGCGAAAGCUAGGGUAGCAAACGGG